UCCCCGUUAUCCGGGGCGGUUUCACUAGAGUGCCCAGCUUGACCUGAUGGCAACUAGGGAUAAGGGUUGCGCUCGUUGCGGGACUUAACCCAACAUCUCACGACACGAGCUGACGACAGCCAUGCAGCACCUGUGCAGGAUCUCCGAAGAGGGGCUCUCGUUUCUGAGAGCUUGCUCCUGCAUGUCAAGGCCAGGUAAGGUUCUGCGCGUUGCAUCGAAUUAAACCACAUACUCCACCGCUUGUGCGGGCCCCCGUCAAUUCCUUUGAGUUUCAGCCUUGCGGCCGUACUCCCCAGGCGGGGCACUUAAUGCGUUAGCGCCGGCACUCGGAGGGUCGCUCCCCCAAGCACCUAGUGCCCAUCGUUUACGGCGUGGACUAC
rnacentral:misc_RNA from 1 species